AGGAAAAGAAACCAACAGGGAUUGCCUCAGUAGCGGCGAGUGAAGCGGCAAAAGCUCAAAUUUGAAAUCUGGCGUCUUUGGCGUCCGAGUUGUAAUUUGAAGAAGGUAUCUUUGGGCCCGGCUCUUGUCUAUGUUCCUUGGAACAGGACGUCACAGAGGGUGAGAAUCCCGUGCGAUGAGAUGACCCGGGUCUGUGUAAAGUUCCUUCGACGAGUCGAGUUGUUUGGGAAUGCAGCUCUAAGUGGGUGGUAAAUUCCAUCUAAAGCUAAAUAUUGGCGAGAGACCGAUAGCGAACAAGUACAGUGAUGGAAAGAUGAAAAGAACUUUGAAAAGAGAGUGAAAAAGUACGUGAAAUUGUUGAAAGGGAAGGGCUUGAGAUCAGACUUGGUAUUUUGCAUGCUGCUCUCUCGGGGGCGGCCGCUGCGGUUUACCGGGCCAGCAUCGGUUUGGAGCGGCAGGAUAAUGGCGGAGGAAUGUGGCACGGCUUCUGCUGUGUGUUAUAGCCUCUGACGAUACUGCCAGCCUAGACCGAGGACUGCGGUUUUUACCUAGGAUGUUGGCAUAAUGAUCUUAAGUCGCCCGU
rnacentral:rRNA from 1 species